UACGUAGGGUGCAAGCGUUGUCCGGAAUUAUUGGGCGUAAAGAGCGUGUAGGCGGCCGUACAGGUCAGCUGUGAAAACUCGAGGCUCAACCUCGAGACGUCGGUUGAAACCGUACGGCUAGAGUCCGGAAGAGGAGAGUGGAAUUCCCGGUGUAGCGGUGAAAUGCGCAGAUAUCGGGAAGAACACCCGUGGCGAAGGCGGCUCUCUGGGACGGUACUGACGCUGAGCUGCGAAAGCUAGGGGAGCAAACAGG
rnacentral:rRNA from 1 species